rnacentral:lncRNA from 1 species
UCCAUCCUCCCUUCCCUUCCCCUCCCCCCUCCUCUCUUCCUCCCUCCCUCCCUCCUCUCCUCCCUCCCUCCCUCCUCUCCUCCCUCCCUCCCUCCACCCUCUCCUCCCUCCAUACUGUACUGUAGUGCUGUCCCAGUUAGGCUGUGGUCUGGAUGGCUCUGGUCCCCCCCUGCCUUCUCCAAGGCUUCAGCAGCCGCAGAUACAAUUGCAAUUCUUGCACCAAAUGCAGCAGCAAAUGGCUAUGAGGGGGGCGGGGCCUCCGGGGGUGUCGCCACAGCUACAUACCGCCAGCCAACCAAGAAGUAAGAGGAAGAGGAGCACACCGCAGCCCCACCCCUAAUCAUGACGAUGACGACCCCCUACACACACACACACACACACACUCAUAAAAUGACCCCCAGCCAUCUGGUGAGCAAUGCCUUGGCACCUCCCCAAAUCAUGGAGAGAAAACCAACCCCUUCCCCUUCAUGAAGACAUGAAUGAUCCAAACUGCACUCUCCUCCCUCACUGCGGAGACUCUGUUGCCUCCCAACUCCCUCACUGUGGAGACUCUGUUGCCUCCCAACUCCCUCACUGUGGAGACUCUGUUGCCUCCCAACUCCCUCACUGUGGAGACUCUGUUGCCUCCCAACUCCCUCACUGUAGAGACUCUGCCUCCCAACUCCUUCACUGUGGAGACUCUGCCUCCCAACUCCCUCACUGUGGAGACUCUGCCUCCCAACUCCCUCACUGUGGAGACUCUGCCGCCUCCCAACUCCCUCACUGUGGAGACUCUGCCGCCUCCCAACUCCCUCACUGUGGAGACUCGGUUGCCUCCCAACUCCCUCACUGUGGAGACUCUGCCUCCCAACUCCCUCACUGUGGAGACUCGGUUGCCUCCCAACUCCCUCACUGUGGAGACUCGGUUGCCUCCCAAUCCCUCACUGUGGAGACUCGGUUGCCUCCCAACUCCCUCACUGUGGAGACUACAGGCAAAAAUACUUGUUAUUUUGUAGCGGAGACAAGAUGA